CCUGGCAGUCAGAGGCGAUGAAGGACGUGCUAAUCUGCGAUAAGCGUCGGUAAGGUGAUAUGAACCGUUAUAACCGGCGAUUUCCGAAUGGGGAAACCCAGUGUGUUUCGACACACUAUCAUUAACUGAAUCCAUAGGUUAAUGAGGCGAACCGGGGGAACUGAAACAUCUAAGUACCCCGAGGAAAAGAAAUCAACCGAGAUUCCCCCAGUAGCGGCGAGCGAACGGGGAGGAGCCCAGAGCCUGAAUCAGUGUGUGUGUUAGUGGAAGCGUCUGGAAAGGCGCGCGAUACAGGGUGACAGCCCCGUACACAAAAAUGCACAUGCUGUGAGCUCGAUGAGUAGGGCGGGACACGUGGUAUCCUGUCUGAAUAUGGGGGGACCAUCCUCCAAGGCUAAAUACUCCUGACUGACCGAUAGUGAACCAGUACCGUGAGGGAAAGGCGAAAAGAACCCCGGCGAGGGGAGUGAAAAAGAACCUGAAACCGUGUACGUACAAGCAGUGGGAGCACAGAGCAAUCUGUGUGACUGCGUACCUUUUGUAUAAUGGGUCAGCGACUUAUAUUCUGUAGCAAGGUUAACCGAAUAGGGGAGCCGAAGGGAAACCGAGUCUUAACUGGGCGUUAAGUUGCAGGGUAUAGACCCGAAACCCGGUGAUCUAGCCAUGGGCAGGUUGAAGGUUGGGUAACACUAACUGGAGGACCGAACCGACUAAUGUUGAAAAAUUAGCGGAUGACUUGUGGCUGGGGGUGAAAGGCCAAUCAAACCGGGAGAUAGCUGGUUCUCCCCGAAAGCUAUUUAGGUAGCGCCUCGUGAAUUCAUCUCCGGGGGUAGAGCACUGUUUCGGCAAGGGGGUCAUCCCGACUUACCAACCCGAUGCAAACUGCGAAUACCGGAGAAUGUUAUCACGGGAGACACACGGCGGGUGCUAACGUCCGUCGUGAAGAGGGAAACAACCCAGACCGCCAGCUAAGGUCCCAAAGUCAUGGUUAAGUGGGAAACGAUGUGGGAAGGCCCAGACAGCCAGGAUGUUGGCUUAGAAGCAGCCAUCAUUUAAAGAAAGCGUAAUAGCUCACUGGUCGAGUCGGCCUGCGCGGAAGAUGUAACGGGGCUAAACCAUGCACCGAAGCUGCGGCAGCGACACUGUGUGUUGUUGGGUAGGGGAGCGUUCUGUAAGCCUGUGAAGGUGUGCUGUGAGGCAUGCUGGAGGUAUCAGAAGUGCGAAUGCUGACAUAAGUAACGAUAAAGCGGGUGAAAAGCCCGCUCGCCGGAAGACCAAGGGUUCCUGUCCAACGUUAAUCGGGGCAGGGUGAGUCGACCCCUAAGGCGAGGCCGAAAGGCGUAGUCGAUGGGAAACAGGUUAAUAUUCCUGUACUUGGUGUUACUGCGAAGGGGGGACGGAGAAGGCUAUGUUGGCCGGGCGACGGUUGUCCCGGUUUAAGCGUGUAGGCUGGUUUUCCAGGCAAAUCCGGAAAAUCAAGGCUGAGGCGUGAUGACGAGGCACUACGGUGCUGAAGCAACAAAUGCCCUGCUUCCAGGAAAAGCCUCUAAGCAUCAGGUAACAUCAAAUCGUACCCCAAACCGACACAGGUGGUCAGGUAGAGAAUACCAAGGCGCUUGAGAGAACUCGGGUGAAGGAACUAGGCAAAAUGGUGCCGUAACUUCGGGAGAAGGCACGCUGAUAUGUAGGUGAAGUCCCUCGCGGAUGGAGCUGAAAUCAGUCGAAGAUACCAGCUGGCUGCAACUGUUUAUUAAAAACACAGCACUGUGCAAACACGAAAGUGGACGUAUACGGUGUGACGCCUGCCCGGUGCCGGAAGGUUAAUUGAUGGGGUCAGCGCAAGCGAAGCUCUUGAUCGAAGCCCCGGUAAACGGCGGCCGUAACUAUAACGGUCCUAAGGUAGCGAAAUUCCUUGUCGGGUAAGUUCCGACCUGCACGAAUGGCGUAAUGAUGGCCAGGCUGUCUCCACCCGAGACUCAGUGAAAUUGAACUCGCUGUGAAGAUGCAGUGUACCCGCGGCAAGACGGAAAGACCCCGUGAACCUUUACUAUAGCUUGACACUGAACAUUGAGCCUUGAUGUGUAGGAUAGGUGGGAGGCUUUGAAGUGUGGACGCCAGUCUGCAUGGAGCCGACCUUGAAAUACCACCCUUUAAUGUUUGAUGUUCUAACGUGGACCCGUGAUCCGGGUUGCGGACAGUGUCUGGUGGGUAGUUUGACUGGGGCGGUCUCCUCCUAAAGAGUAACGGAGGAGCACGAAGGUUGGCUAAUCCUGGUCGGACAUCAGGAGGUUAGUGCAAUGGCAUAAGCCAGCUUGACUGCGAGCGUGACGGCGCGAGCAGGUGCGAAAGCAGGUCAUAGUGAUCCGGUGGUUCUGAAUGGAAGGGCCAUCGCUCAACGGAUAAAAGGUACUCCGGGGAUAACAGGCUGAUACCGCCCAAGAGUUCAUAUCGACGGCGGUGUUUGGCACCUCGAUGUCGGCUCAUCACAUCCUGGGGCUGAAGUAGGUCCCAAGGGUAUGGCUGUUCGCCAUUUAAAGUGGUACGCGAGCUGGGUUUAGAACGUCGUGAGACAGUUCGGUCCCUAUCUGCCGUGGGCGCUGGAGAACUGAGGGGGGCUGCUCCUAGUACGAGAGGACCGGAGUGGACGCAUCACUGGUGUUCGGGUUGUCAUGCCAAUGGCACUGCCCGGUAGCUAAAUGCGGAAGAGAUAAGUGCUGAAAGCAUCUAAGCACGAAACUUGCCCCGAGAUGAGUUCUCCCUGACCCUUUAAGGGUCCUGAAGGAACGUUGAAGACGACGACGUUGAUAGGCCGGGUGUGUAAGCGCAGCGAUGCGUUGAGCUAACCGGUACUAAUGAACCGUGAGGCUUAACCUUACAACGCCGAAGGUGUUU
rnacentral:rRNA from 1 species